rnacentral:rRNA from 1 species
AGCGUGGAGACAGGUGGUGCAUGGCUGUCGUCAGCUCGUGUCGUGAGAUGUUGGGUUAAGUCCCGCAACGAGCGCAACCCUCACCCCUUGUUGCUACCAGGUAAAGCUGGGCACUCUAGGGGAACUGCCCCGGUCAACGGGGAGGAAGGCGGGGAUGACGUCAAGUCAUCAUGCCCCUUACGUCCUGGGCUACACACGUGCUACAAUGGCCGGUACAAAGGGAUGCCACACCGCGAGGCAGAGCUAAACCCAAAAAGCCGGUCUAAGUUCAGAUUGGAGUCUGCAACUCGACUCCAUGAAGGAGGAAUCGCUAGUAAUCGCGUAUCAGCACGACGCGGUGAAUACGUUCCCGGGCCUUGUACACACCGCCCGUCACACCACGAAAGCCAGCUGUACUCGAAGUCGCUGAG